rnacentral:rRNA from 2 species
AAGUCGAGCGAUGAAACUUUAACAGAACCCUUCGGGGCGAAGAUAAAGUGGAUUAGCGGCGGACGGGUGAGUAACACGUGAGUAACCUGCCUUAGACAUUGGGAUAGCCUCGGGAAACCGGGAUUAAUACCAAAUAAAAUCAUAAUGACACAUGUCAUAACGAUCAAAACUCCGGUGGUCUAAGAUGGACUCGCGUCCCAUUAGCUAGUUGGUAGAGUAAAAGCCUACCAAGGCGACGAUGGGUAGCCGGCCUGAGAGGGUGAACGGCCACAUUGGAACUGAGAAACGGUCCAAACCCCUACGGGAGGCAGCAGUGGGGAAUAUUGCACAAUGGAGGGAACUCUGAUGCAGCGACGCCGCGUGAACGAAGAAGGCUUUCGAGUCGUAAAGUUCUUUUAUAUGGGAAGAUAAUGACGGUACCAUAAGAAAAAGCCCCGGCUAACUACGUGCCAGCAGCCGCGGUAAUACGUAGGGGGCUAGCGUUGUCCGGAAUCACUGGGCGUAAAGGGUUCGCAGGCGGAAAUGCAAGUCAGAUGUAAAAGGCAGUAGCUUAACUACUGUAAGCAUUUGAAACUGCAUAUCUUGAGAAGAGUAGAGGUAAGUGGAAUUUUUAGUGUAGCGGUGAAAUGCGUAGAUAUUAAAAAGAAUACCGGUGGCGAAGGCGACUUACUGGGC